AUACAUGCAAGCCGAGCGAACGGACGAGAAGCUUGCUUCUCUGAUGUUAGCGGCGGACGGGUGAGUAACACGUGGAUAACCUACCUAUAAGACUGGGAUAACUUCGGGAAACCGGAGCUAAUACCGGAUAAUAUUUUGAACCGCAUGGUUCAAAAGUGAAAGACGGUCUUGCUGUCACUUAUAGAUGGAUCCGCGCUGCAUUAGCUAGUUGGUAAGGUAACGGCUUACCAAGGCAACGAUGCAUAGCCGACCUGAGAGGGUGAUCGGCCACACUGGAACUGAGACACGGUCCAGACUCCUACGGGAGGCAGCAGUAGGGAAUCUUCCGCAAUGGGCGAAAGCCUGACGGAGCAACGCCGCGUGAGUGAUGAAGGUCUUCGGAUCGUAAAACUCUGUUAUUAGGGAAGAACAUAUGUGUAAGUAACUGUGCACAUC
rnacentral:rRNA from 1 species